rnacentral:rRNA from 1 species
AUGGGCGUCGUCUCGGCGGUGGCGGACGCGGUGGUCGUCCUCUUCUCCCUCACCAUCACGGUGGCGGUCCCGCUCAUCGACGCGCAGACCGUCCUCCCGCCCGACCUCUACCCGGCGCCGCUGCGGGACCUCAAGCGGUGGUACGCCGCCGAGUUCGACGACUACCUCAUGGCCCACCCGCCGGCCUUCCUCCACGGCCUCUUCUGCCUCGAGCUCGCCUUCCUCUGGCCGCUCUCCGUCGCCACCAUCUACGGCGUCCUCGCCCGCCGCCGAUGGGCCGCCACCACCUCCCUCAUGGCCGGCGUCACCACCCUCACCUCCAUGUCUGCGAUACUUGGUGAGAUGCUGGGCUCAGGAAAGGCAACGCCGAAGCUGCUUCAGCUGUAUGUUCCAUACGUCGUGUUCUCCGUCGUUGCCAUUCUGCGCGGUCUCUGCUCAUGCUCCGCGCCGCCCUCGCCUGCAUCUUCUGCUCGGAAGAAGAGGGUCUAG